rnacentral:tRNA from 1 species
CGUAGUUCAGUCGGUUAGAGCGUCAGAUUGUGGUUCUGAAUGUCGUGGGUUCGAGUCCCACCU